rnacentral:rRNA from 1 species
CAGCAGCCGCCGCGGUAAUACAGAGGGUGCGAGCGUUAAUCGGAUUUACUGGGCGUAAAGCGUGCGUAGGCGGCUUUUUAAGUCGGAUGUGAAAUCCCUGAGCUUAACUUAGGAAUUGCAUUCGAUACUGGGAAGCUAGAGUAUGGGAGAGGAUGGUAGAAUUCCAGGUGUAGCGGUGAAAUGCGUAGAGAUCUGGAGUAAUACCGAUGGCGAAGGCAGCCAUCUGGCCUAAUACUGACGCUGAGGUACGAAAGCAUGGGGAGCAAACAGGAUUAGAUACCCCUGUAGUCCCUGUCUCUUAUAC